ACAUCCAGAGAAUUUAGCAGAGAUGCUUUAGUGCCUUCGGGAACUCUGAGACAGGUGCUGCAUGGCUGUCGUCAGCUCGUGUUGUGAAAUGUUGGGUUAAGUCCCGNAACGAGCGCAACCCUUAUCCUUUGUUGCCAGCACGUAAUGGUGGGAACUCAAAGGAGACUGCCGGUGAUAAACCGGAGGAAGUGGGGAUGACGUCAAGUCAUCAUGGCCCUUACGAGUAGGGCUACACACGUGCUACAAUGGCGCAUACAAAGAGAAGCGACCUCGCGAGAGCAAGCGGACCUCAUAAAGUGCGUCGUAGUCCGGAUUGGAGUCUGCAACUCGACUCCAUGAAGUCGGAAUCGCUAGUAAUCGUAAAUCAGAAUGUUACGGUGAAUACGUUCCCGGGCCUUGUACACACCGCCCGUCACACCAUGGGAGUGGGUUGCAAAAGAAGUAGAUAGCUUAACCUUCGGGAGGGCGUUUACCACUUUGUGAUUCAUGACUGGGGUGAAGUCGUAACAAGGUAGGCGUAGUGCU
rnacentral:rRNA from 1 species